rnacentral:rRNA from 1 species
UACGAAGGUGGCAAGCGUUGUUCGGAUUUACUGGGCGUAAAGGGCGCGUAGGUGGUUAGGUAAGCCCUCCGGGAAAUCUUCAGGCUUAACCUGAAAAGGUCGGGGGGGACUGCCUGGCUAGAGGACGGGAGAGGAGCGCGGAAUUCCCGGUGUAGCGGUGAAAUGCGUAGAGAUCGGGAGGAAGGCCGGUGGCGAAGGCGGCGCUCUGGAACGUCUCUGACACUGAGGCUCGAAAGCGUGGGGAGCAAACAGG